AGUGGCGAAAGGGGCAGUAAUGUGUGGGUAACCUACCCUGGGGACCGGGAUAGCCAUUCUAACGAGUGGGUAAUACCGGGCAAUGUAGCUGAGGGGCAUCCUUUGGCUACCAGAUGAAUUUCGCCCUGGGAGGGGCUCAUAUCGUAUUAGCUAGUUGGUGGGGUAACGGCCUACCAAGGCAAAGAUGCGUAGCGGGUGUGAGAGCACGACCCGCGCCACUGGCACUGAGACACUGGCCAGACACCUACGGGUGGCUGCAGUCGAGGAUCUUUGGCAAUGAGCGCAAGCUUGACCAAGCGACGCCGCGUGUGCGAUGAAGGCCUUCGGGUUGUAAAGCACUGUCGAGGGGGAUCAAAGGGCAACCUUGAGUGAUCCCUGGAGGAAGCACGGGCUAAGUUCGUGCCAGCAGCCGCGGUAAGACGAACCGUGCGAACGUUGUUCGGAAUCACUGGGCUUAAAGGGCGCGUAGGCGGCUUGUCAAGUCAGGGGUGAAAUCUUUCGGCUCAACCGGAAAAGUGCCUUUGAUACUGACAAGCUAGAGGGAGGUAGGGGUAUGUGGAACUUCUGGUGGAGCGGUGAAACACGUUGAUAUCAGAAGGAACGCCGGUGGCGAAAGCGACGUACUGGACCUCUUCUGACGCUGAGGCGCGAAAGCUAGGGGAGCAAACGGGAUUAGAUACCCCGGUAGUCCUAGCCCUAAACGAUGGGUACUAGA
rnacentral:rRNA from 1 species